rnacentral:lncRNA from 1 species
AGUAAAUCAACCUAAACACAACCAGAAUAUGACAAGGACAACCACAAUACACACACACAAAGCUACAACUAACAUCUUCAUCCUUUUCUGCAUUUUCUGCAAAUCCUUCACUGCAUUUUCCAGCUCGCUUAUCCUCUUCAGAAUUGUGCAAUCUUUUUCAUCAACGUUGUCUUCACAACACCACUUAAAAAAGUUACAGCAGCUCCNAAAUNAAGAUCCACCNUGUUAUCCACCAUGUUAUUCAACGAUACCUACCAUCAAGUCAAAUGAAGAAAAGAUUAGCUGAGAACUUCAAACCUUGUAACGAGGACAACCCCAAAAAUUUCUCCCAACAUUCUUCGUAGUUCUGGCCACUUUGAUUACUACAACAUCUCCACAAUAACACGUUGGGAUUAACCCACCUCCCCUACAAGCACCACCAUGGGACGAACGAGAAGAACACCCUUUGGCCCAACUUUUGGAAACCGAAGAACACCCUUGGAAAGCCAUUCCUAUUUCUCCACAAACACUUUCCAAAUCUCAAAGACCAAUUGGGUGGAAACCAAACGCUAACCCCUUUUACUUCUUAACCAAGUGAAUUCUUCUCAAAUCCCAACUUUACCCUUCAAAGUUCUGAUCAAUAAACUGCCACGUUGCACAGAACAUAGGUCAAACGUU